rnacentral:rRNA from 1 species
UACGUAGGCGGAAAAUUAAGUCAGUAGUGAAAUCCUGCAGCUUAACUGUAGAACUGUUAUUGAUACUGGUUUUCUUGAAUAUAGUUGAGGUAGGCGGAAUGUGUAAUGUAGCGGUGAAAUGCUUAGAUAUUACACAGAACACCGAUUGCGAAGGCAGCUUACUAAGCAAUGAUUGACGCUGAGGUACGAAAGCGUGGGGAGCGAACAGGAUUAGAUACCCUGGUAGUCC